CUUAUUCUUACACUCAAGGCAUUGGUUGAUGUUAAUUGCUUGGAUCGGGAUAUGGAUUCUAUCACUCAUGAUGUUUCAUACUUAAGAAAUCUUUUUCAUGCAAUCAAAAAGGCAGAGGAUGCUAUUGAUGACCAUAUGACUCAUAAACUACAUAUUUUGUCA